UAUUCCAUCUGUUUUGUUUAAAUCGCAAUUUUAGGUUUAACACGACAGAAAAUCCAAUAUUUAUCGGAGUUGGAUGAUUAACAGUGUGAACUUAUCGAGGCAACAAGACAAAUUUUCAAAAGCAUUUGGAAGGGAGAAGACCAAAAUUUAAACUUUUUUAAAAGGCAUAAAUAUAUUUCUAAAUAUAUGAGGAAUUACUAUAUAUUCCCACACUUUUUGUAUCAUGAACUUAAAGUACUUUAUUUUAUCGAUUCUUGAAAGCCCCUGUGCAUUUCUAUACAGUUUACUUGGGCUUAAUACGGGUGAUGUGUGACGUCAUCAAAGUCACGUGAUGACUG
rnacentral:lncRNA from 1 species